UACCGGAUUGUAAUCAAAAUACAGAAAAUUUAAAUGUGCUGCUUCUUAUUAUAUAGCAUCCAUUGGUAUGGUAUAUAAGAGUCACAUAGACAGGUAAACCAUACCCUAUUCUGUGUUGAUCACUGUGAUCAACUCAUAUGGUCUACAAAGAGAAGACUAGAUGAUUGGCAUGAUGUACGGCCACGUAUGCUACAUUCUCACGCAGUUCAGAAAUCAUCACGGAGACACGUUACAUUCUCACGCUCUAACACACCACACCCAAGUUCUGCAAGGUCAAAAUGGCUAAAGUGUUCAACACAACAAGAUUAUGUCCAAAUGUUCAUGAAUCCUAUGAUUUCUCCACAAGGAAUUGUGUAAGUUUUAUGUUCAUCUAUUGUGAGGUUGAAAGAUAGUGAUCACUUGGGAAUUCUAUCUCAUGUUCAAGGUUUUUAUUUCUUUUUCUUUGUGAAAUUUUACAAGAUAAGUUUAAUACAUUGCUAUAUUAAGUGUUACUGGUGACUAACAAUAGACGUAUGUUGCUUGAUAAAUAACCACUGAUUUAUAUUGUGUUCA